AAGGCCCAGCUUCUUUCCUUUCGUCUCUUGGGAGCUGGGAUCGUUGUUCCCCUUUCUCUCUGUCCUUGUAGCUUCAGGCAAAUCGACGCCGCUGCCGCCGCCGCCGCCUGGCCGCCGCCGCUGAAUCACGUCCGCGCGAUGCUGCUGUCAAAAUGGAGCCGAAGCUCGACCCCAAGGCUGGCAAGCUCGCUGCAGAGUCCGGGGGCUCUCCGCUUAUCACACCUCGCCGGGGCGCCUAGCCGUCUCGCGGUCGCUGCAAGUAUGGACGGAACUACAUCGAGCCAUCAAGUGUAACUUAAACCUCACAAUUGCCAGGAACAAAAUACAGGGGUCAACAACAAAAUAGCUCUCCCGGUUUGCUCAAGAACUAAAAGAAUCUCUCAAAUUUCAGAUCAUCACUGCUUGCCCCGUUCAAUAGUUGAGUGAAGGAGCUGAUGGUCCCAUAUUCUUCAAAGUUCCUGUGUUUGUCACUGCUUGCUUCUUUCCCAAUAUCUUGUGCCUUGCGAGAAUAGAAAGUCGCAAGAGAAAGCAUCAGCGCACGAAAAUGUAUAAUAAUGAUGUAAUGCACUUGUUAAAGAAAUUUGACAUACCAUUGGUAUUUGUACAGACUCAAGAGUUUUUCUUUGUCCUUUUUUUCCUCCCAUUGUACUUUUCUUCCCAGCCAAGUUUUUGUCUCUUUGAA